AUGGGAUGCAUUUUUCCAUGCUGCUUCCUGCUCGUGGCUAGCGGGAAAGACAAACAAGAUCAUUCAUUUUACCACAACAAGCUGGUCACCUUCCAUUAGCGUGUGUGGGGGACACCAGUCAUCAGUCUUGUAGACCAGAGCUGUUCCAAGGUCUGUGAAUUGGGGUCUGCCUUUGGGAAGUUUCAGUUGCUCAGGAUUGAAUGAAAAACCGCAGACCAGAUUACUGAAAUGCUCCAACUUUUACUACAACCAGCACUCAUGCAGAAAUGAUCCAAGUCAUAGAAAUAAACCCUUUCAGUUGCUGAUAAGAUUUUGGUUGAAGAUGUGGCACCAAGGAAAUUUUCAAAUAUUAAACUGCCAAAAAGAGAAGCUCCACAAGUGAUAAUAAGGCGGCGGGAAGAAAAGCACUGUUCAAAAGUUCCUGAUAAAGCAGGGGAACCUACUAAUUCACUUCGGAGUAGAGACCAAUGUCAAAAGCACCGUGUACAGAAAUUGAGUGAUUGUAGCUAUGUAUCCAUGGCCACGGGGGACAGUUGAGCAAAAACAAAAGAUUUUGAAUUGUUUUGUCACAGUCCAUGAUGUCAUUGAUAUCACAGCACUAAGUAAGAGUUUAAAGGCAACAUGGUGACAUGAAUAGAGUGGUUGAAAAGGAUCUUCGUUUCCGCCAUAAGUGGUAGUAGAUGAAUACAACAGCUGGUUGUGGCAACUACUGGUCUCUUCUGGACAAAAAAGUAUU